rnacentral:rRNA from 1 species
GAUGAACGCUGGCGGCGUGCCUAAUACAUGCAAGUCGAGCGAACAGACGAGGAGCUUGCUCCUCUGACGUUAGCGGCGGACGGGUGAGUAACACGUGGAUAACCUACCUAUAAGACUGGGAUAACUUCGGGAAACCGGAGCUAAUACCGGAUAAUAUAUUGAACCGCAUGGUUCAAUAGUGAAAGACGGUUUUGCUGUCACUUAUAGAUGUAUCCGCGCCGCAUUAGCUAGUUGGUAAGGUAACGGCUUACCAAGGCAACGAUGCGUAGCCGACCUGAGAGGGUGAUCGGCCAAACUGGAACUGAGACACGGUCCAGACUCCUACGGGAGGCAGCAGUAGGGAAUCUUCCGCAAUGGGCGAAAGCUUGACGGAGCAACGCCGCGUGAGUGAUGAAGGUCUUCGGAUCGUAAAACUCUGUUAUUAGGGAAGAACAAAUGUGUAAGUAACUAUGCACGUCUUGACGGUACCUAAUCAGAAAGCCACGGCUAACUACGUG